rnacentral:rRNA from 1 species
GAUGAACGCUAGCGACAGGCUUAACACAUGCAAGUCGAGGGGCAGCGAGGGCGUAGCAAUACGCCUGUCGGCGACCGGCGCACUGGUGAGUAACACGUAUGCGACCUGCCCCCUACAGGGGUAUAACCCGUAGAAAUGCGGACUAAUCCCCCAUAGUCCUGGAGGCUGCAUGGCUUUCAGGGGAAAGGCCAGCCGGUAGGGGAUGGGCAUGCGGCGCAUUAGCUAGUUGGCGGGGCAACGGCCCACCAAGGCGACGAUGCGUAGGGGUUCUGAGAGGAAGGUCCCCCACAUUGGAACUGAGACACGGUCCAAAACUCCUACGGGAGGCAGCAGUGAGGAAUAUUGGUCAAUGGGCGAAAGCCUGAACCAGCCAAGUAGCGUGCAGGAUGAAGGCCCUAUGGGGUUUGUAAACUGCUUUUAUGCGGGGAUAAAGUUAGGGAUGUAUCCCUUUUGCAGGUACCGCAUGAAUAAGGACCGGCUAAUUCCGUG